GCAUGGACACCGACGGUAAGCGUCAAGCUAUCUUUUCAUCGGAUAAUUAACACGUCUUACCGACGUAACUCUCCUUCGUUCAGCCACUUGGCUCCGGACCUCCACUGGCUGCCCUCGCUUCCCGGGCCGAGAUCCGAAAAGACCGGAAGAGCAACGCGACUGCACUUCCUCUCCGAGCCGACAGGCUGAGCGUGGCCUGCGUAGCUUCUGAUUGGCUGCUGAGAACUAGGUACCCCACGUGGGACCAUGCGAGUUGAGCGGUGCAUUCAAAACAAAUAAGAUAAUCAGAGCAAACAGUCUCUCUUCUUUUACGGUACUAAAUUAACAGUGUUUCUUACACCUGGUUAAAAUGACAUAAUGAUGUGUUUAAUGUUUGUAAAUGUUUUCAAACAUUUUGAUAAACUGGUUUAAAUUGUGUGACUUAAAUACAACAUGUUUGUUUUAUAGGGCUGCCUUAUUUGGCCUUGUUUAGGUUUAGUUUCUUUCUGAUUUAUUGAUUUGAUUAUUGUUUUUUUUUAUUUUAUUUUGUUCUAUGGCAAUGUGCAAUAUGGUUGACUGGUACUGUGGAAUCCGGGUUUAAUGAAUUGAUUCUUGGUGAGUUAUUGGCUCCAUAAACUAGAGGCCCUCUUUUGUCAUUUUGUUGUAUUAUAUCGCCUGCAGUGUUAGGAUUCUUAAAGUGUGCUGUGGUUGUUUAAUGCAUGAUAUUUUAACUUUGUUGAAUUGGGUCUGGAGCCUUUAACUUCUCCCUUUUUAAUCUGUUAUUUGUAUCAAGUCCAGUACUUCAACCUUUGCACAUGAUCCAGGGCUGUUUGAUCAGUCUUUUUAAAUCAUUUGCUCAUUUUUUUCUCGGGGCUGCGCCUCGCUUUCUGAACCGAUGGUUUCGGGGCAUAGCUUGGGGAAAAACACUGGAAAAUUAUUUUAAAAGAUAUUAAUGACAUAUUAUAUAUAAAUUAUCAAAUAUGUGUCCCGUACUUUAGAGUUCCCUGCUGUUCUCCUGGAGUUUUAAUUUCCCCGAGUGUUUCCCCUCACAUGAUUAAAUGCACACCUCUGCCCCCCCCACUACUAGCACACAGGCAGUCAGACAGAGAAAGAGAUGGGGGGGUGCUAUGAAGACCAUCAUCAUUUACCCCCAACCCCGUUGUUAACAUGUAGGCUUAUAUCUUCUGCCUACCUGCACAGCGGAAUAAUGAUUCUAACUGAUGAACAGACGUGUGCAGGUGCAUCCUCACCCUGCAUGUUGGUAAGGAUCCUGAACUCAUGCCUGUACGGCACAGUGGACAAACGGCAGAUUGUGCGUGGACGUGUGAUGUGAGAAAGUGCUCGACCUGUUUGUUUCUCAUGUGAAACAGUGGAGCAGAGGAAACACGUCAGUGCUGCGCCUCCUCUGGAGAAAAACUCCACAUCCAACCAGCCGGGGAAAGGUACCACACACGACCAUUAUAAAUGAAUAAAGAAAGGAAUAUUUCAUGUUGUUUUUAAUUAUCAUGUGUUAUACAUUCUCUUUGUGGGAUUAAUGUGUUGUCCUGAUACUUGCAUCAUUUCUCCAAGUGUUUUACAAGGUUAAUUUGUUUUAUCAAAUGUAAUGAACAGACUGAUAACUGUCAUGUUCUGAAAUCGACAUCAGUAAUGGACAACUUUGUUUCUAACAACAAAAAACCAGCAAGUAUAUCAGUUGCUGCAUUUCAUUUACCGUAAUCAUUCAGUAUACGUUGUUCAGAAUAUCACAUCAACACAGGGAACCAAGGUUUUGGUAAAGAGGAGUUUAAUUUAUAGGAACUGACUGUCAUCAUGCUGCUAUUACAUUAAAUAACAUUGUACAGUAUUUGGGAUUAUUUGAAUUUCAUUUAAAACAAUAAUAAACAGACAAGUUAAUUCACUUGACAA